rnacentral:tRNA from 1 species
GCGUGUGGGGCUCAGUUGGUAAAGUGCUUGCCUGGCAUGCAUGGGGUUGUGGGUUCAAGCCUUACCACUGCA